ACUACCCACUAGGUCAUUCCUUUCACUUUCUAAUGAUGCUCUUGCUUUUACUUUUCUAGUGGGUUCAAGAAAGAUUUCAAUCUUUUUCUUCUUAGUUUCCACCAAGGACAUCAUUUCUUGGGAAAAACAUGUACAUAAUGGAAACUGUUGCUUCUCCUCUAGCAGAAAAUGAUGAAGUUGGAUGAAGUUAAUUAUUAUUUUCAACAUAGCAUGUCUUUCUUGGUAAGAUGAAGAAGAAACAAGAUGAUAUAAGCUUAUCCAUUAAGUUGGAUAAGGUAUAUAAUUUCAUUUUGAUAAAAUGGCAUUAUGAAUGAGGUGAUAUACAAGCUUCAUCUUUGAAUAAAGCAUAUAGAUAAGAUUUGUAUUUCCAUACUUUCACUAUUCAUGAUUUCUCAAAGACGGCAACAAUGAUUGCGUUGAAUUUUAUUUCACUGUAGUAAAAUAAAUGAAAAAAAGGCCAAUAGUUUUAUUCUGCUCAAACUUUAGGAUUGAGGGAAAUGAGAGGCUAAUGGGUGAAAUUAUUCAAUGAACCCGUCGUAAUUGCCAUGAACUUUUCU
rnacentral:misc_RNA from 1 species